ACGCUCGACACCUACGGGAGGUAGCAGUGGGGAAUAUUGCACAAUGGGGGAAACCCUGAUGCAGCGACGCCGCGUGAGCGAAGAAGUAUUUCGGUAUGUAAAGCUCUAUCAGCAGGGAAGAAACUGACGGUACCUGACUAAGAAGCACCGGCUAAAUACGUGCCAACAGCCGCCGGUAAUCUGAGCGGGCUGGCAAGGC
rnacentral:rRNA from 1 species